UUGUGGAAAUGGAUGGUCGCCGUCUUUUUGGACGGAGGAAAGUCCGGACUCCUCGGAGGAAAGCGCCAGAUAACGUCUGGCGGCGUGUAAUAGCGUCAGGGAAAGCGCAACAGAAAGCAUACCGCCUUAGGGUAAGGGUGAAAUGGCGAGGUAAGAGCUCGCCGCGCGAUCGGCAACGGUCGCGGCACGGCAAGCCCCGCUUGGAGCAAGAUCAAAUAGGAAUAACGCGUCCUCCGCGCUAUGUUAUUCGGGUAGAUCGCUUGACGUCUGCGGCGACGCAAACGCUAGAUGAAUGACCAUUGGGAUAAUAAUCCUACAGAAUCCGGCUUAUAUUUUCCACAAAAAC
rnacentral:RNase_P_RNA from 1 species